GUCUACGCCAUGCUAUCCUGAACACGCGGGAUCUCGUCUGAUCUCAGAAGCUAAGCAGGGUCGGGCCUGGUUAGUAUUUGGAUGGGGGACAACCUGGGAAACCCAGGUGCUGUAGGCA
ensembl:rRNA 5S_rRNA 5S ribosomal RNA